UGGGAUGUUUUACAGCACUGACGAAUGUAGUACAUUGUCCAUAAAGCUCUUAUUCUAAAAGCCUUUGCCAUGGAAGAUACAUAUGUGAUUAAAAACUCAAGGUAAAACGUUGUUGAUCAACAACAUCUACCCAUAAUUGUCUUUGAGAAGGCUUAUUCAAAGGAAAGUGAUCAUGAAACAAGCUUAAAAACCCAAAUGGUGGAUUGUGGAGAAAGAUAUGGAAAAGAGCUGGAAUCCAGUUUCGAGAAAAUGCAUAUGGCAUCUCAAAUAUAUUGCUGUGCAGUAAAUGGUAAAUAAAACAAUUAAAUCCUAUGACUAUAUAUAAGAAUGCAAUUAAUUGCUAAUUGUAAAACUUAGACAGUCGUGUGAAAAUUCCGUAGGAGAAUAGACACUUUACAAAAGGGGAUGAUUUGAAAUUACGAAAAUAGAGAUUUUUUAAAUUUCCAGCAAAAA